rnacentral:rRNA from 1 species
UAGGGAAUCUUCCACAAUGGACGAAAGUCUGAUGGAGCAACGCCGCGUGAACGAUGAAGGCUUUCGGGUCGUAAAGUUCUGUUGUAAGGGAAGAACAAGUGCCGCAGGCAAUGGCGGCACCUUGACGGUACCUUGCGAGAAAGCCACGGCUAACUACGUGCCAGCAGCCGCGGUAAUACGUAGGUGGCAAGCGUUGUCCGGAAUUAUUGGGCGUAAAGCGCGCGCAGGCGGCCUCUUAAGUCUGAUGUGAAAGCCCCCGGCUCAACCGGGGAGGGCCAUUGGAAACUGGGAGGCUUGAGUAUAGGAGAGAAGAGUGGAAUUCCACGUGUAGCGGUGAAAUGCGUAGAGAUGUGGAGGAACACCAGUGGCGAAGGCGACUCUUUGGCCUAUAACUGACGCUGAGGCGCGAAAGCGUGGGGAGCAAACAGGAUUAGAUACCCCUGUAGUC